GUGUCAGCAGCCGCGGUAAGACAGAGGUGCCAAGCGUUAGGCGGAAUCACUGGGCUUAAAGCGUGUGUAGGUGGAUGUCUAAGUACCUUGUGAAAUCCCACGGCUCAACCGUGGAACUGCUUGGUAUACUGGAUGUCUUGAGCCAGCUAGGGGCUACCGGAACAAAUGGUGGAGCGGUGAAAUGCGUAGAUAUCAUUUGGAACGCCAAUGGUGAAAACAGGUAGCUGGGGCUGUGCUGACACUGAGACACGAAAGCCAGGGGAGCGAACGGGAUUAGAUACCCCCGUAGUCC
rnacentral:rRNA from 1 species